GAUUUAGGGAACAAAGGCGAACGUCUGAGACAACUAUCUUUUCUGGAGAGACCUGUUCAAAAACUAGUGGUUUUGGUUAAAAGUGAGUCCUAAACUACAGUAAAGUACAAAAUUUGAUACAACAUUAAAAUGUGAUAUUUGAGUUUAUCAAGUUACUGAUUUCUGUGUGUUUCAUAACAAAGGUUUAUGGUUGAUAGUUAUUUUAUUGAAAAUUACAAGUUUUAAAGUUCUUUAAUGUGUAGUGAAUUUCAAUCAUUGUAAUUUUGGUGGCAGUGUAGCUGUCGCAGUUAAAUGUGGUUAUUCAUUGUCAUUUGUUUGAUUUAACUGUGGAAAUAUUUAAUUUAAUUUCUUUGUUGAUUUGACGCCACCUGCUGGCUGGAUUGAAAUUUGACACUGGAAGGUGCGCGCGAGCGGAGCGAAUGAUUAACUGACACAAGCACGGAGAAGCGACCAGAAGAAGCUCACAUCGGAUAAAGAAAAGUGGACAUGGACUGAAAUUGCUUGUGAAUAUUAAGUGGAGAGGCGCACACGUUUUUCACGGUGUUUGCUGGUAACAAGAAGAUAAAGAACCAGUUGAACAUCA